UCUCUAAUCGUUCACGAGUCGAUGACGAAGUUAGAGAACUACAUUAGGAUUCGAUUCGAGAACGAUUAGAGAAACUACGCAAAUUCAAUGGUCGGCACGAUGCUAAGUUGUGUUAUCGACUAUCGAUUUAUAGCUACGAUCGUCCUUAUUUUAGACAAAAACGCAAUUGUUCGAGCAAAUUGAGUGCCGCUUCAAAAUUUAAAGUAAAUACAUAUAAUUAUUUCACGUAAUAAAAUGAAUAGAAAGAAAUUUAGAAGUGAGAGUGAGCAAAUAGUAAAUUUACUGUUUGAAAGUAAAAGUGAUGAUGAGCAUCCAGAAUGUGAAGCGUUGCUAGGAGAAGAAGAGCCACACGACAGGCCAGGAUGCAGCAGAACAUUUGAUGAGCCAGAUGAAUUCAGCAUUUCUUCAAGCGAAGAUGAUACGGAUGACUGCAUUAAUGCAAAUAACGAUUUACGGAAGGACUUGACAGAAUGGACUGUUAAACAUAAUAUAACUAACGCGGAAAUAGAUGAUUUGUUAAAGAUUCUAAGUAAACGCAUUACAGGGCUUCCUUUGUGUGCCCGAACUUUGAAAAAUACUCCAAAGAGUGCCCCAAAGGUCAUAAUGGGUCCCGGGGAAUAUGUACAUUAUGGGGUUGAAAGUGCUUUAACUGACUUUUUAUGUCGAACGGACUUUAGUGGCAAUUGUUUGAAUCUGAACAUUAAUAUCGACGGACUUCCAUUGGCAAAAAGCUCUAAUACUCAGAUAUGGCCAAUUUUAGUUAACGUACAUACAUCGGAUGACAUAAGAGUUAUAGGAGCAUACUGCGGGAACAGCAAAUCAACAAAUGUUAAUGAGUUUCUUAAAAUAUUUGUAGAUGAGUUAUUAGGGUUGUUGGAAAAAGGACUAAUUUUUAAAGAAAUGCGUUAUAAAGUUACUUGCCGGGCAUUUAUAUGUGAUGCACCUGCACGAGCAUUCGUUCUUGGUAUUAAAGGCCACUCUGGGUAUUCUUGUUGCCCGAAGUGUACACAAAAAGGCGAAUCAAAGUACCAUAAAAUCAUUUUCACAAAAGAAAAUAAUUCAAUUCGAACUGACGCAGAAUUUCGAGCACGAGUAGACAAAAGCCAUCAUGUUCUUUCAGAACCCAUGGUCAUCGAAAAACUUCCAAUAGAUAUUGUGAAGACAUUUGGUAUAGACUACAUGCAUGUGGUUUGCCUUGGAGUAACUAAGACUCUAUUAAUUGCUUUGCUAAUAAAACGCAGCAAAUCAUAUUCCCUUAAACCAACGCAAAUUAAAUUAUUAGAUUCAAGCCUUCAAGCUUUAUACAGUCAAGUGCCGCGGGAAUUCGCUAGACGACCUAGAUCGCUGAAAGAUUUAGAACGGUUUAAGGCAACGGAAUUUAGAUCUUUCUUACUUUAUUCUGGAAUAUUCAUACUGAAAGAUAUUUUAGAUCCUGUACGGUAUAACCAUUUCUUACUUCUCAGCUUAAGCAUAAGAAUACUUUUGAAUAAAGACUAUUAUACCAAAUAUAACACCUGUGCAAGUCAAAUGUUAGAUAAAUUUGUUGAAAGUAUGCUCGAAUGCUAUGAUGAAACGUUUUUAACUUUUAAUUUUCAUUGUUUGACUCAUUUGGCCCACGAGACCUUAUAUUUCGGAAGCCUAGAAACUUUCAGCGCAUUCAAAUUUGAAAAUUAUUUAUCAAAACUAAAGAGGAAAAUAAAGAAAUGCAAACAUGUCGCUGCACAGGUGUAUAAUAGGUUGGUUGAAAACAGCUUAGCCUCACAAAGUAUUGUAACAUCGUCAUGCGUCUUAAAAAAAGGAAAGGUAUUUACUUCUGUGACAACGCCAAAGAGCCUGACAAUUUCUAUAGCUUCAAUAAUAGUAUAUAUAAAUUGGUGGCUAUACAUGAUAAUACUGAAGUAAAACUAUCAGGGAAAGAAGUUCUUAAUUUACAAGACUUUUUUGAAACUCCUAUACGGUCAGGGAACCUGAAUAUCAAAUGUUGCAGGGAAUUGGAGAUUUCUACCACUAGGCGUUCAACAUUCAUUACAACAGAUAUCAAAAAUUAUAAAAUUUAAUAAUGAAUGCGUCAAUUUCUUUAUUCCUUUUAUCCAUUCCUAAUAAACGUUAAAGCGACAAACAUGGACUUUAAUACCAGUUUUACCAGUGCGACGAACGACACACCAAUAACAAGAAAAGAUCUUCAAAGUUUGCAAGAAAAAGUUUUAAAGCAGAUAAGGAAAUCCGAGAAAAAAUUUUUAAAGAAAUAGAUCACAACCAACAAUCAAUAAAGCGAAGCCUUACACGAAUUUUACAAGAAACCAAACAAAGGAAAUACAGCCAUAAAACAUCACGGAAUGAGAUUAUCCCCAAAACACCGUUUGACAACAUUGAGGAUGUUAAAAAAUUUGAAAAGGAAAUUCAGGACCAUUCUUCAAAAUACGAAAGUCUGUCCGAAGAACUUUCACAUAUAAUUUGUACGAGCAGUAAAAAAUUUAUUAAAAUGGCUUGGCGUAAAAUCGUUACCGAUAACGCAGCAAAAAAUUUAUGCUGGAAAGGGACAAACACCAAAGUGGCAGCAAGAAGUUUAAGCAUUACAGCUGCUUUAAAAAAUGCACUUUCGAUGAAAUUUCCUCAAUCCACAGACGACGAAUUCGCACGAACCUCCAUUACCUUUUUCCAGCAUGCAAAAGGACGACUUCAAAAACGCACUGUAUAUCAAAGCAAUAGAAAUAGUACUUUAGAAACUUACAAGAUAACUUCAUAAAAUCACAUACAUGUACUGCUAGUUUUUGCUGAACAAUCCAAACCCUGUAUAUAGCCAUUUUAAUUUUAAGUAAAA